CCGAAUGUCUUUUUUGUGUGUUUCUUGGUGCUAGGAUUGCCCGUGUACUCAUUUUUACUGUUGAUAACCCCUCGUGGUGAAAUUCUUCAAUAGAUUUGGACAUAAGACAUCUUCUUUAAUUGAGAACUUAAAGUGAGGAAAACAUUAAAAUUUAUAAGAGCUGAGAGAGCAAGAACUGUGUCUGUCAAAAACAUUCACACAAAUGAGAGAGAGAUGUCUUGUCUGAAGAGCAACAUCAAAUGAAGAAGUCAGGAGAAGAGAACAGAGCAACGUCAAAAAAAGGUGCCGGCAACGUGCGGCUGUUUCCAUCUUAUCGUCAGAAAAGCAUGUAAUGAACAACUAUGAGUGCCAAGAUCACAAGCCGCCUGCGACAUUAUCCUUGUCAUAUUUACAUUUUUGUAAGCUUUUUAUAAAGACUAUAUAUAU